CGCAGGGCUCUGUGCCCUGUCCCCGUGCUGGGGACACUGCCCCGUCCCCUGACGCUGUCCUUGUCCCCAGGCCCUCCUGUGGGACUCCUUCCAGCGGGUGCAGCAGCAGCUCCUCAAGCGCCAGCCCUUGGCCGACCCCCCCGUGCUCCCCCCCGGCCACCGGCCCCUGUCCCGGGCCCAGUCGUCCCCGGCCACGGCCACCGUGUCCCUCCCUGCCCAGGACACCAAGGCGCUGGCCCUGCCCGUGCAGGAGCAGCCGCCCAAGCCGCACUUCACCACAGGGCUGGUUUAUGACUCGGUGAUGCUGAAGCACCAGUGCUCCUGCGGGGACAACAGCAACCACCCCGAGCACGCGGGCAGGAUCCAGAGCAUCUGGUCCCGGCUGCAGGAGCGGGNNNNNNNNNNNNNNNNNNNNGGGCCUGCGCAGCCGCUGCGAGGUGAGCUCAGAGGGCUGGGCCCUCCUCCAUCCCUCCUGAACCCAUCCCAUCCCUCCUGAACCCAUCCCAUCCCUCCUGAACCCAUCCCAUCCCUCCCGAUCCCAUCCCAUCCCUCCUGAUCCCAUCCCAUCCCUCCUGAUUCCAUCCCAUCCCUCCUGAGCCCAUCCCACUCCUCCUGAUCCCAUCCCAUCCCAUCCCACUCCUCCCGAUCCCAUCCCUCCCCUCCUCCCCCAGUUUGCCACCCUGUCCUCGGUGGUUUCCCUGCUGUGCCCAUCUCCCCCGGGGUUGGGGCUCUGCUGGAUGCUGGGCACAGGGAGGGGCUGCUCCCCCCAAACCAGCGAGCUCUGCCAGGCCCAGCCUAGUAAAACCCAGCUCUGGGCUGCCUCUGGCUCCCUGGCUGCACUUUGGGGCUGCUCAAGUGCCAGCCCGGGGGUCCUGCAGGGGGACAGCAGGACGGUGUCCCCCCGGGUGUCCCCCCGGGUGACAGCCGUGUCCCCCGAGUGCCUGCGGGGCCGCAAGGCCACCCGUGGAGGAGCUGCAGUGCGUGCACAGCGAGCGCCACGUGCUGCUCUACGGCACCAACCCCCUCAACCGCCUCAAACUGGACAACGGCAAGCUGGCAGGGAUCCUGUCCCAGAGGACGUUUGUGAUGCUGCCCUGCGGAGGGGUGGGGGUGAGUGUUCCACCCCUGAGCCGGGUUUUGGGGUCACUGCUGAAUCCCUGCUCUGGGUUUUGGGGUCACUGCUGAAUCCCUGCUCUGGGUUUUGGGGUCACUGCUCUGCCCUUUGGGCUGGGCUGUUCCCUUUUGUCCCCUCAGGAUCUCGGGGCAGCUCCCGAAGCCUCUGGGCAGCCUGGGUGGGGGUGUUUGAUGGAAGUGUUGGAUCAGAGCAGCUUGGGGUCCUUGGGGAUGUCUGAGCGUCCCACUCAGCAAGGGGAUCCUGGAUCAGAGCCCCCCGAGGGGCUGGCAGGCGGAGGUCCCCACUGCGGGAGGGCAGCAGUGACACAGGGACAGCAGCACCCUCUCCAUUCCCAGCUUUCCCUCCUGGUUUCUCUGCAUUCACUGCCUCCUCCUCUCCUCCUGUCCCUGUCCCUGUCCUGUCCCUGUCCCUGUCCCUGUCCCUGUCCCUGUCCCUGUCCCUGUCCUCUCCCUGUCCCUGUCCUCUCCCUGUCCUGUCUCUCUCUUUCAGGAAGGGGCUCCCUCGGUGCCUUCCUGCUGCCUCUUCUGGUUCUGCUCCUCUCCUUGCCGGCCGUGCUGGGCCCAGCUCUGCUUUCCCUGCUCUGCCUCCUUUCCCUGCUCUGUUCCCGGGGCUGCAGCUGCCCCCCCGGGCACGGGG
rnacentral:lncRNA from 1 species